rnacentral:rRNA from 1 species
UGGGGAAUCUUGGACAAUGGGGGCAACCCUGAUCCAGCCAUGCCGCGUGAGUGAUGAAGGCCUUAGGGUCGUAAAGCUCUUUCGCCUGUGAAGAUAAUGACGGUAGCAGGUAAAGAAACCCCGGCUAACUCCGUGCCAGCAGCCGCGGUAAUACGGAGGGGGUUAGCGUUGUUCGGAAUUACUGGGCGUAAAGCGCACGUAGGCGGACCAGAAAGUUGGGGGUGAAAUCCCGGGGGCUCAACCCCGGAACUGCCUCCAAAACUAUUGGUCUAGAGUUCGAGAGAGGUGAGUGGAAUUCCAAGUGUAGAGGUGAAAUUCGUAGAUAUUUGGAGGAACACCAGUGGCGAAGGCGGCUCACUGGCUCGAUACUGACGCUGAGGUGCGAAAGUGUGGGGAGCAAACAGGAUUAGAUACCCUGGUAGUCCACGCCGUAAAACGAUGAAUGUUAGCCGUCGGGCAGUAUACUGUUCGGUGGCGCAGCUAACGCAUUAAACAUUCCGCCU